rnacentral:tRNA from 1 species
CAAAUUAGAGCUUGUUAAAGUAUUUCAUUUACAUUGAAAAGAAAUUAAAAUUUAAUCAAUUUGA